UACAGAGGGGGCAAGCGUUAUUCGGAAUUAUUGGGCGUAAAGGGCGCGUAGGCGGCUUUUCAAGUGACGGGUGAAAUCCCUCGGCUUAACCGAGGAACUGCCUGUCAGACUGGAAGGCUUGAGACCGGGAGAGGUGAGUGGAAUUCCCAGUGUAGCGGUGAAAUGCGUAGAUAUUGGGAGGAACCCCAGUGGCGAAGGCGGCUCACUGGACCGGAACUGACGCUGAGGCGCGAAAGCGUGGGGAGCAAACAGG
rnacentral:rRNA from 1 species